UACGGCGGGUGCAAGCGCUAUUCGGAAUUAUUGGGCGUAAAGAGCGCGUAGGCGGUCCUUUAAGUCAGAUGUGAAAGCUCAGGGCUCAACCCUGGAAGUGCAUUUGAAACUAAAGGACUUGAGUAUGGGAGAGGGAAGUGGAAUUCCUGGUGUAGCGGUGAAAUGCGUAGAUAUCAGGAGGAACACCGGUGGCGAAGGCGACUUCCUGGACCAAUACUGACGCUGAGGCGAGAAGGCGUGGGGAGCAAACAGG
rnacentral:rRNA from 1 species